GACGAACGCUGGCGGCGUGCUUAACACAUGCCAGUCGAACGCUGAAGCUCAGCUUUUGUUGGGUGGAUGAGUGGCGAACGGGUGAGUAACACGUGAGUAACCUGCCCCCUUCUUUGGGAUAACGCCCGGAAACGGGUGCUAAUACUGGAUAUUCACUGGUCUUCGCAUGGGGGUGGUGGAAAGGGUUUUUCUGGUGGGGGAUGGGCUCGCGGCCUAUCAGCUUGUUGGUGGGGUGAUGGCCUACCAAGGCUUUGACGGGUAGCCGGCCUGAGAGGGUGACCGGUCACAUUGGGACUGAGAUACGGCCCAGACUCGUACGGGAGGCAGCAGUGGGGAAUAUUGCACAAUGGGCGCAAGCCUGAUGCAGCGACGCCGCGGGAGGGAUGGAGGCCUUCGGGUUGUGAACCUCUUUCGCUAAUGGUCAAGCCGCAACAAUGGUUGUGGUGAGGUUAGUGGGUAAAGAAGCGCCGGCUAACUACGUG
rnacentral:rRNA from 1 species